UACGUAGGGUGCGAGCGUUGUCCGGAAUUAUUGGGCGUAAAGGGCUCGUAGGCGGUUUGUCGCGUCGGGAGUGAAAACAGCUGGCUUAACUGGUUGCUUGCUUUCGAUACGGGCAGACUAGAGGGAUGCAGGGGAGAACGGAAUUCCUGGUGUAGCGGUGAAAUGCGCAGAUAUCAGGAGGAACACCGGUGGCGAAGGCGGUUCUCUGGGCAUGUCCUGACGCUGAGGAGCGAAAGUGUGGGGAGCGAACAGGAUUAGAUACCCUGGUAGUCCACACCGUAAACGUUGGGCGCUAGGUGUGGGAUCCAUUCCACGGGUUCCGUGCCGUAGCUAACGCAUUAAGCGCCCCGCCUGGGGAGUACGGCCGCAAGGCUAAA
rnacentral:rRNA from 1 species